rnacentral:tRNA from 2 species
GCGCCCGUAGCUCAGCUGGAUAGAGCACUUGGCUUCGAACCAAGGUGUCGGGAGUUCGAAUCUCUCCGGGCGUGCCA